rnacentral:lncRNA from 1 species
CGGGCUUAUAGAAAAACGAGCUUAUAGGCGUUUUUCCACAAACGCGGUUGCUAUAUGCGUGAUCGCAACAACUUUUUCCCGCUCGCUCGCUUCGCAACAACUUUUCUGGCGCCAGUUCUGCGUUUUGCUGCUCGCCCUCGCGCCUUUUUCAUUGCUUAUAUACAGGCCCCAUCGCUAAUAAAACUGGCUGGCCGUCAAUUCCAUUCACAUGCGCUGGCUGGGAGACGCUGGCACUGGUUCUCAGCGGCUUCUUCAUCAGGCGGUUCUCAUCAUCUUCCCAUCUUCAAUCAAGUUGCACGACCCUGGUAAGAUCAAUCAUCCUGUCAAUAUAAGUUGUAGUCGAUGUACAUAUUUCAUGAUAUUGUCCAUUGAUCAAUCAUCCAGAUCAACAAAUUAGUCCAUAUAAGUUGUAGAUGUACAAAUUUCAUGGUAUUGUUCAUCGAUCAAUCAUCUUGAUCAACAAAUUGGUCCAUAUGAGUUGUAGAUGUACAGAGUUCAUGGUAAUGUUCAUCGAUCAAUCAUCCUGAUCAACAAAUUCGUACGUAUAAGUUGUAGAUCUACAAAUUCAUGGUAUUGUUCAUCGAUUCAUUUUUUCGUAAUGAAGCUCAUUUUGCAGAAAGAAAAAAACUCCGGUAAUCUGAGAUAGCCAAUUCGUAGAUGAAACUAGAACCACCAACUUGGCAAUUUGUCCCCUCCUCUCUCUAAUUGGAAACACACCUCUGUUUGAUUAUAAAAGAAACCCACUACACUAGUUACUUGCUGCUGUACAUGGAAACCAGGUAAACGCCAGAUAUGAAAAAAGAGUAAAUGGCACGCUAACUCUAAUUAUAUAUUUAUAUGGUAUUAAUAGGCAGUAGGCCAAUCUGAACUGUGCGAUAUAAGUAUGUAUGUUUGUGCUGUAGUCUAAAUUGUAUACACAUGUAUCAUAGUCUAGUAUGUAGGCCAAUCGUGUACUCCUGGAUAUAAGGGGCCCUCAAAUUUAAAUUGAACAUGCACAUGCAGCUUUACCUCUAUAAAAACAAAUGGUAAGCCAACAGUAGAUCACUGAAAUACAAGCCAUCAGUUCCUUUGUCGACCUGCAUUGUGAAAAGAACAUAGGAAUACACGUAGAAAUCAAACAAUUAGUAGUAAGUGUUGUCAUAGGUAAAACAUUAAAGAUUAGCUCAGUCCUAGACCCCCAUUUGUCUACUGCAAUCAGAAGAAUACACGCCAAGAGAUGAUUUGAAUGCAGUUGAAAUAUUAUUAUCAUGUUCAUUUCUUCCACUUAACAGUGUUCUUCUCAACCAAAUAACUCACUUUGCAAUAUGGCUUGUUGUAAGUACAACUUUAAAUUGGAGGUUUUGAAAUGUCAAGAGAAAUUAUGUUUGUCAAUCACAUACUCAUUUAAAUUUUUAUUUUCUUGUAGAUAAAUAUGGAUGAUCAGAAGGACCAAAAAAAUAGGAAAGAAAACCCAGAUAAAAAGAGGCAUGUAUGGAAAUCUUCGGAGGACAAAAUACUUCUCACUAUAAUGAAAGAUCAAACUUUACACGGAGGGAAAGAAGGAACAGGUUACACAAAGAAAGCAUGGCGUGAUAUCUUAAAACAAUUCAAUGAUUCAAGAGUAGACAAACUUGAAUUACAACAAUUGAAAAAUCGCCAUAAGUACUACUGGAGUUGCUAUGCUGCCAUGGAUAGACUUCUUAAACUGACUGGAUUUGGUUGGGACGACGAUGACAAAAUGAUAAAAGCUUCAGAAGAAACUUGGGAGGAACUAAUUGAGGUAAGUUUGUGCGAGUAGGAUUCAUAUAAAAUUGGUAUAUUAUAUUUAUUAAUAAAAAAAUUAACAACUUGCAGAAGGAUAAGUCACUCCAAGAAUAUCGAGAAAAGGUGUGGCCUAGUUGGGAAGAUCUUCAACAAAUAUGUGCUAGUUCAACGGCAUCUGGAGUUGGUGCUGUAUCUAGCAAAGGGAAAGAUGGUUCAUGCACAACUAAAUCAUCUCAAAUUGAUCUCAAUAAGGAUGUUGAAGUACAUGAAAUCGAGUCUGAUGAAAACAAUGGCUCCCCUGGUGUGUUCACUAAGAAGUCGACAGCCAUUGAGCCAGAAAAAAGGAAAUUCCCUGGAAGUGGAUCAAAAGAAACUACAAGAGGACAAAAACGUACAGCUGAUGAUGCCAUAACAGCAAUUGAUCGUCUUGCAGAUGCAUCACUCAGCAUUGCUGAAGCAAAGAAAAAAACAGCAGAACAAAAUGACACUUACUCGGUUAAAUCAUGCAUGUCAGUACUAAAUAGUAUGGGUAGCCUCGAUGCCAGCACAAAACUGAAAGCAGUAAAAGCAUUUACAGAUGGUGACAAACGCACCAUUUUCAUUGAGAUGUAUGAAGAAACUCGAAAGCUUUGGAUUCUUGAUCCUUAGUUAUUUUGUAAUACACCAUUAUUUGAUUUCAGUAAUUGUCAUUUUAUGUAUUUAGAGAACAAUUUCCAUUGCUUUUUCUGUCAGUUUGUGUUGCAACAAUCAACUGUACUUUCAGUUUGAGAAAGUUCAUUUCCAACUAUUUUAUAUAUCUUAUAAAAUAUUAUUCUGAGAUGAUACAAUCAAUAGUGUACACUGUGCAGGGAACCAUGAACAGUUUGUAUGUGCCAGAUGAUGAAUUUUCUGAUUCCGAGCAAGUUCUUAUUAAUAACAUUUCUGCAGUGUCCGUGUUUCGUGAUGUGUUGUUCACAAGGUUAUUCAAAACACCUCGUAACACCUCCAUAUUAACUGGUGCCCAGAAAACAAAAGAGUUGCUAGAGGGACAUCCAGUUAGAUUUUACGAACAAAUUCGUCUUGAGAAGCACAUAUUCUACUUGCUGCGAGAUGCUUUGUGUGAGAGAGGCUUACUGAAGGAUACAAAGCGAAUGACAGUGGACGAACAACUACUCAUGUUUCUACAUACCAUUGGUCACAAUGUUAGGAACCAUGUCAUCUAAGAUAGAUAUCAGCAUUCUGGUGAACCAAUCAGCCGACACUUCAACAUUGUUUUAGAUGCCAUAAAUGGGUUGCGUGAUGUUUGCAUAACAGAUCCAAGGAAUGAAAUCCCAGCGAAAAUAUUGGGUGAUGCAAGGUUCUACCCAUAUUUCAAGGUAUUUUCCUAUCGCAAACACAUGUUACUUUUAAAUAUGAUUAAAUACUAUGUCAUGGAAACUUAAACUUCAUUGUUUGACUAACAAAAAUCCCAACAGAACUGCCUAGGAGCAAUUGAUGGGACACACAUUGAGGCAAAAAUCAGGCUAGAUAAGCAAACUCCUUAUAGAAAUAGGCAUGGUUACCCCUCUCAAAAUGUAAUGGCAGCAGUGUCAUUUGACAUGACAUUCUCAUAUGUCGCUGCUGGAUGGGAAGGUUCUGCAUCAGAUCAAGCAGUUCUAAGAUGGGCUGUUACUAGUGGGGGUUUUGUUGUUCCUGAAGGUAAAAGUUCAAAUAUAUGAACUAUAUAUUGAUUAAUCUUAUUACAUAAAGAUUCUGACCGUGCUAUCAAACCUUACGUGCAGGUAAAUUUUAUCUUGUUGAUUCUGGAUAUGCAAAUACUCCAAAAUUUAUUGCCCCGUACCGUGGAGAUCGUUAUCAUAUUGCUUCUUUUCGUGGAAGUAAUCGACGAUAUACUAGUGAGAAAGAUAUGUUCAAUCAUCUGCACGCACAACUACGAAAUGUUGUUGAGCGAACUUUUGGUGUUCUAAAAGCUCGCUUUCCAAUUUUAAGUAGGAAAGGAGGAAUUCCUUAUCCAUAUAAAACACAAGUCAAAAUUGUUAUGGCUUGUUGUAUUAUCCACAACUUCAUCCGGAAGGUUAAUCAUCAUGAUGAGUUGUUCGAGCUUUAUGAGCAUGGGGAAGCACAACAACAUGUUGACCAUGGUGAUCAGCAAGUUAGAGGGCAAGCAAGAGAAGAUGAACGAGCUGCUGGUGAGAGAGUUCGUGCAGGCAUUGCUCGACAGUUGUGGAGUAAUCAUCAACAGCGUUCCGCUCAACAACCAGAAGAUGAUUGAGCAUUACAAUAUUAUUUUUUAAAUUUUAUUUAUAGAUUCAUUACAAUAAUAAUUGUUACAAUUUUUCAUCAAUUUAUAGGUUCCAAAACUUCCCGUUCUGUAUUAUAAGAUGAUAGUAAUGCUAAAUUAUUUUAUGUACAACUGUGUGCAAUAAAUUUGUCAUUCGAUAAGAAAAAUGGCUCCCAGCUCAAAUAAUUCGACCUUGAAAUGCAAACAAAGAAGAAAUGUUUACCUGCUCCGCCGAAUCAUAGUCCUCACGCUUGACCUCCAGCCCCGACAUGGCCGCUAUCAGGGUGGGCGGCGUCGAGCACUCUUUUGAGAUCUAAACUUCCAUGUACGGACGCUGCUGGACGGCCAGCAUCAAGGGGCGGCGUACAUCUGGGA